rnacentral:misc_RNA from 1 species
GAUGAAGAACGCAGCGAAAUGCGAUAAGUAAUGUGAAUUGCAGAAUUCAGUGAAUCAUCGAAUCUUUGAACGCACAUUGCGCCCUUUGGCAUUCCGAAGGGCACACCUGUCCGAGCGCCGUCGCACAACUGAGGCGCAGCCUUGCGUUGGCGGGCGACUUGUGAGUAGCGAGUCGCCGCCCAAACGAGACGGCGCCGCGCCGCGGCCGACGAAGCACGAAAGCGGAAGUCGACGCGGAGGCGGUUGCCUGUAGGAAGACACAGCUUGGCCUCGGAUCAGGUGGGGAUACCCGCUGAACUUAAGCAUAUCAAUUAAGCGGAGGA